UUCCUCGGACGGUUUGACACUCGAGCCUGCAACGGGAACAGCCUAUUCUGGCUCCCAGCGGCCCCUGCGCCCCUCGCACGCGGAAUGAGGAGUAGAAAACAACGCACGCGUAGGUCUGCAGUGACUGCACCACUUGCUCGAGCUCUUCCCACUGCAGGAGCUCAGAACUGACAAGAACCCUGACCAAAGCAGUAACUCCUGGUUCUGCUGGUACACCUCUUGUACCUGGAGCUGGCUCUCCAUCUGGCUGAAACGUCAUCUUUAACACUUCAAAACAAGCCUAAGGAGAAAAGAUUUUGGUGAUGUGACAUGAAAAUAGACAGCACAAAUAUAGACCAGGAUAACAGAAGUUGCACAUGCUGGGUGUUGAAUCUCAUUUGGAAACCAAACCACAGUGAGAAGUCUUAUUUUAUUUGGUUCAUUUUUGCUAAUCUCCCGGAGGAUCAGGAGGUCAGUAGAUGUAAACUAGAGAUGCAUCACAGGGAUAUUCAAUCAAGGUGAUGCAACACAUAUCUAAUUGUUUUUUCAUAAUUACAAUGACUAAUAGAUAUUAACGUGAUAGUGACUCUCUUCCUAGCUUAAUAUAUGUUAACGCUAAAUUUGAAACUGGCAUCCUAAUAAAUAGGGCUU